GAUCCUGGCUCAGGAUGAACGCUAGCUACAGGCUUAACACAUGCAAGUCGAGGGGCAGCAUGAGAUUAGCUUGCUAAUCUUGAUGGCGACCGGCGCACGGGUGAGUAACGCGUAUCCAACCUCCCCCUACUCAGGCAUAGCCCGGUGAAAACCGGAUUAACUCCUGAUAGUUUCACUAGAUGGCAUCUGACGGUGAAUAAAGCUCAGCGGUAAGGGAUGGGGAUGCGUCUGAUUAGCUUGUUGGCGGGGUAACGGCCCACCAAGGCGACGAUCAGUAGGGGUUCUGAGAGGAAGGUCCCCCACAUUGGAACUGAGACACGGUCCAAACUCCUACGGGAGGCAGCAGUGAGGAAUAUUGGUCAAUGGGCGCGAGCCUGAACCAGCCAAGUAGCGUGCAGGAUGACGGCCCUAUGGGUUGUAAACUGCUUUUGUGCGGGAAUAAAGUCAGGGACGUGUCCCUGUUUGCAUGUACCGCAAGAAUAAGGACCGGCUAAUUCCGUGCCAGCCGCCGC
rnacentral:rRNA from 1 species